rnacentral:rRNA from 1 species
AGAGUUUGAUCCUGGCUCAGAUUGAACGCUGGCGGCAUGCUUUACACAUGCAAGUCGAAGGAUUUUGGAGCUUGCUCCAAAGUUAGUGGCGAACGGGUGAGUAAUAUAUCGGAACGUGCCAGUCGUGGGGGAUAACGUAGCGAAAGCUACGCUAAUACCGCAUACGAUCUAUGGAUGAAGCGGGGGAUCGCAAGACCUCGCGCGAUUGGAGCGGCCGAUAUCAGAUUAGGUAGUUGUGGGGUAAAGGCCUACCAAGCCGACGAUCUGUAGCUGGUCUGAGAGGACGACCAGCCACCUGGGACUGAGACACGGCCCAGACUCCUACGGGAGGCAGCAGUGGGGAAUUUUGGACAAGGGCGCAAGCCUGAUCCAGCAAUGCCGCGUGCAGGAUGAAGGCCUUCGGGUUGUAAACUCUUUUGUACGGAGCGAAAAGGCUUCCACUAAUACUGGGGGCUCAUGACGGUACCGUAAGAUAAGCACCGGCUAACUACGUGCCAGCAGCCGCGGUAA